GAUGAACGCUAGCGGCAGGCCUAACACAUGCAAGUCGAACGGUAACAGGAAUUAGCUUGCUAAUUUGCUGACGAGUGGCGCACGGGUGCGUAACGCGUAUACAAUCUGCCUUUUACAGGGGGAUAGCCCAGAGAAAUUUGGAUUAAUAUCCCAUAGUAUUAUUUAUCGGCAUCGAUUAAUAAUUAAAGCUUCGGCGGUAAAAGAUGAGUAUGCGUUCUAUUAGCUAGUAGGUGUGGUAACGGCACACCUAGGCAACGAUAGAUAGGGGCCCUGAGAGGGGGAUCCCCCACACUGGUACUGAGACACGGACCAGACUCCUACGGGAGGCAGCAGUGAGGAAUAUUGGACAAUGGGCGAGAGCCUGAUCCAGCCAUGCCGCGUGCAGGAUGACUGCCCUAUGGGUUGUAAACUGCUUUUAUACAGGAAGAAACUGCUCUACGUGUAGAGCCCUGACGGUACUGUAAGAAUAAGGAUCGGCUAACUCCGUG
rnacentral:rRNA from 1 species